rnacentral:lncRNA from 1 species
AACCCCUCCUCAAAUAUCUCACGUGCCUUGAAAGCGCUCUUACCUCCGUUGGGGCUUGGAGGACACAUAACAAUAACCAUCGGGACCCUAUAAACACAAAGAUGGAGCGCCUGGAGUGGGGUCAGAGGUUGUGUCCUUGCAUUUUUCUCCCCCUGUCUUCUUUCACCCCCUGCUUCGUAUUUUGGUCGGGGUUCGAAUCUUUGGAAGAUCCAGAGCGGAGGGUCCCGUCUUCCAUCAAAAUGCCACCCCGAAGAAGAAAAAGUCAUUUUAGGGUGGGAGGAAAGGAGGUGGGCUUUGAGUCUCUGGAAGGCCUGCUAGGUGACGCUUUUUUCCUUUGCUUCUCUAGAAGCCAUGGCUGUGCCGUAUCUCAGCGCCGUACUCCUGUUGGCCCCGCUGAGCUGGGGCCAGGACUUCCCCUUCAGGGACCCCACCUUGCCCUGGGAAGAACGGCUGGACGACCUGGUGAACAGGCUGACGCUGGACGAGAUGGUGCUGCAGAUGGCGAGAGGGGGCGCCAAAGCCAACGGCCCGGCGCCGCCCAUUAAGCGCCUGGGCAUCGGGCCCUACAACUGGAACACGGAGUGCCUGCGUGGGGACGCGGAGGCGCCGGGCUGGGCCACCGCUUUCCCCCAAGCCCUGGGCUUGGCGGCCUCUUUCAGCCCUCCGCUCAUCUACAGGGUGGCCAACGCCACGGCCACGGAGGUCCGGGCCAAACACAACCACUUUGUCUCCAUCGGCAACUACGAGGACCACACCGGCCUCAGCUGCUUCAGCCCCGUGUUGAACAUCAUGCGCCACCCGCUGUGGGGCAGGAACCAGGAGACUUAUGGGGAGGACCCAUUCCUGACCGCAGAGCUGGGGGUGGCUUUCGUGAAGGGCCUGCAGGGCGACCACCCUCGUUACGUCAAGGCCAGCGCUGGCUGCAAGCAUUUCGAUGUCCACGGUGGCCCCGAAAAUAUCCCCACCUCCCGGUUGUCCUUUGAUGCCAAGGUGAGCGAGCGUGACUGGCGCAUGACCUUCCUGCCUCAGUUUGAGGCCUGCGUUCUGGCUGGGACCUUCAGCUUCAUGUGCAGCUACAACAGGAUUAACGGAGUCCCCGCGUGUGCUAACAAGAGGCUGCUCACGGACAUUCUGCGCGGCGAAUGGGGUUUCCAGGGUUACGUGGUGAGCGACGAGGGAGCCGUAGAGCUGAUCAUGGUGGGCCACCAGUUCACCCACAGUUUCCUGGAGACAGCGAUCGUUUCCGUGAACGCCGGAUGCGAUCUGGAACUUUCGUAUGGGAUGAAGCAGAAUGUUUUCACGCACAUAGGCGAAGCUGUGGCCAAAGGCAACAUCUCUUUGGAGACAGUCAAAGCCCGUGUCCGGCCGCUUUUCCGCACCCGCAUGCGACUGGGGGAGUUUGACCCCCCAGCCAUGAACCCCUACAAUGCCCUGGGACCUGAGGAUGUGCAGAACGAUGCCCACCACCAGCUGGCGCUCCAGGCGGCCAUUCAGUCCUUUGUCCUGCUUAAAAACCAGAAUGGGACUCUACCUCUUCGGGCCGAAGACGUACGAAAGAAGACUCUUGCGGUGGUCGGCCCUUUUGCUAACAAUUCCGUGCUUCUCUUUGGGGAUUACGCUCCGAUCCCAGAACCCCAGUACAUCUUCACACCCAGGUAAGAACUGGAGGGAAUUCAUUCCACCUCCUGUUCCUCACUCCAGCUCACCGAUCUUUCCUUAGAAUUCAAAACUAUCUUCAGUGAAGGUCAACCCCCACUGUAGUAAUCAUCAUUAUGCCUGAGAGACCAAAAGAAACUACGUUCAUAGCCAAUUAUGUCUUGAGCUU